GGUUGUUUUUUAAACAAGUGCAGAAAACAAACAAAGUUGCAUUGUAAUUCAUGCAACAUCCUUUUUUUUAAGAAAAGAAAAACACAAAUUUGGCCUUCACACAUUUUUUGCAAAGAACAGAAGGUAUUUUUUUUCUGUAGUGUGAUCACAAUGAAAACAUUAUUGUCUUUUGUUCCCUUUUUCCCUUGAGGAUUUUUCCCUGUUGUUGGGGGUACCUUUCUCCUCUGAGACUCAUUUCCUGGGAUGUGUCCUUGUCUGUCCCUAGGUACCCAGUGUGAUGUGAGACAUGAAUGUCUGUGCUAACUUGUCUCAUGUGCAACCCUUUUUUCGAUGGGGGUUGGGCAGGAGUGAGGGGUGUGGAGAGUAACCGUCCAGAACUAAACUUCCAAGGGGGCCUGGGAGGAGGGUCUGCAGGACCUGAGGAUCUUUGGCUAGGCUUCUGCAAACUGGUGGAAGUGGCUUUUUACUUGCCGCAUUCUGUGCCGCUGGAGGGCCACUGAUGGCUUCAUCUCACCCUGGGGUAUUUCAUGAUGUCAUUCAGCAUCUUUUUCAAACUGCCCCAAACUCUUGUCUGAGCUUUACAUUUUGAAGCUAAAUGCAAUCCCCUACCCCUUUUUUGCAAAUCGUGCGUAGUUGUCAAUGUCACCCCCCCCCUGCUGGAUGGAGAAAGUGUCUCCCAGGCCCUGUCCCCCAGUCUGGUGACAUAACAUCCUGGGGCUAAGAGCCCACCCUCCAAGAGGCAGAGGCCCCCCAGGAUGUCUGUGGUUGGUUGACCCUCCCAUGGUGUUCCUCAUUCAUCUCCUCCUCUCUCCCAAAGUCCAAUAUGAGAACCAGCAUGCACAGCCAGCCUUCAGCAUGGGCGCCAUGUCCAGGGAGGGGAGGCCACCCUUGACAAAGGGAUGGCAGUGGUGGCCGGGAUACCAGCCUGCCUUCCUCAGGGAGGAACCCUCUCUCAUGACUUUGGGGAUCUUCCCUCCACUGCUCAGCUGCCACCACUGAGAAAUAAGUGUGUAGGAGUGUGAUGCCUGGUGGCCUUUGAUUCUGGAAAGAUGCUUAACAGAAAGCCAGCCAAAGAGAGAAAGGCAUGAACCAAGCAUACUUCUUAGUGGCUCCGAGGUCCUCUGCCCAUUCCCCACCUGAGAGCUAAUUGCAGAGUCAGGAGGAAGCUGGAUGGGCUUUCAGGAGAUUUCUUUCAGUGAAGUUCUUCUAAAACCACUUCCUCUCUAAAGAAGCCUAACCAGGGUUUUAAAGAAAGACUAAGGAGAAAGGAGGAAAGAACUCAUUUGGUGCAGCUUGGCAGUGUCUUGCAACCCCACCAGGAUGGGGGGACGCUCAUCCUAGUGCCGAUGGACCCCGGAUGCCAGGCUCCAUGUCCCCUGAAGACCCAGGCCUGAGGUCACUGGGAAGAGGCUUCAGCCCUCUCGAGUGGUAGUGCCCAGGCCUGGUGGUAUGCCCUGGCCCAGAUGGCAGCCGCCAGGCCUGAGGAAGCCUGGCAGGGCGGGAGAGUAACAGCAAGAACUAGGUCCUUGCUACUGUCUCAUCUGCCUCAUUACCAUCUUUGUUACCACUCGCAGAGGCUCUGGGAGACCGGGAGGGGAAACCAAAUGCUUUUUGAGCUGGGCUUCUUAAAAAAUGGGACUUUUAUGGGUUGCAUUUACAUUAAGUGUGGAAAAUGAAUUCUGAGUCUGAGCUAUUCCCCGUGGAAACCUUGUUGGACUGAUAAGCUCAUGGCACCUUUAUAGCCUUACUCACAGAGUCUUCAGGAUAUUACCUGAGUUAAUGAAACCAAGAAGGUCUCUUACCGCAUGAGAAUCGGAGCAGUGUGUGGUCUGGGUUCUGCCUGGCAGAGGGAGAAAAGGUUUCGCCUUACGUCAUCCCAUUGGGAUAGAGGAUGUGUUUCGCUAAGUGCUCUUCCUGUUUCCAAAAAAGUCACACUGCUGCGACAGUGAGUCUCGGCCUGCUGGUCCACGGACUGCCUUCAGCCGCUGGGUGCAGAAAGCCACUGAGUCAGAUGCUGCACCCUCGAGCUCGCCGUGCAUGGCGGGAGUUGGCAGUGGGCUCCCAUCAGCAGGAUCUUCUUGGAUGGGCUAGAAAAGUUUGGCCUGAAGAAACAAGUUUCUCAUCCAAAACAGACUUAUUAAAAUGUACUCUUAAUAGAAGGGCAAAGCUCUCCUGCCCAUGGACCUAGCUCAUCGGUCCCACCCUGGAUGCCCGACAUCAGUCACAACCUCCAGGGGACAUGUCCUUAGAGGGCAGAGACUGAGUGAGGGCCAAAGGAAUCAUCUGCCUCCACCUCCCCAGCACUCUGUCCUCCCCUACCACCACCCCACCAAAGUAACAAUGUGAACUUCGAGAGUGAUUGAGCAUUUGUUUAAAAAAAAAUGUUAUUUAUAUUUUUUUCUGGGCUACAUACCACCAGGGAGGUCCUGCUUCUGUGCAGGGAGAAGCUGAGCAUCCUCACGCUUUAGAGAAAGGCUCUCGGGUGUGGUCUAGGUUCCGCCUGGCAGUGGGUGCUGCUCCUCUAGAGACUGUUGCCGCGUGGCCCUGGCAAGGUGGUUUCCUGCACGCCUCCAUUCUCAGGCUGUCUUGCCUACACCACCGUCCAGUGUCCCAGCAAGAGCAAAUCUGAGGCAAAAACCAGAGUUCUCUGUGCCUGCUUAGCAUAGAGAAUUCAGGCUGCAAAGCCAUCCCUGAAGGCAUCAGCCCUUUUGGCACUAACCAGCCAUCUUGUCUCCAGUCCGUGGAACAAGCAGCACUUUCUCAUCAGUUCACAGUUCUGCAGGAUAUCAGCCUCUGACCCAAAAUAAAGGUUUAUUUUAGAAUGAUUCCUGCUUCUCCCCCACCCUCCACAGCUGCCACCAACCCCUCAUCCUCUGCCCAUGUGUCAUCAACUAACACAGGACUUUAGUGCUUGUUCGAUGUUGCCUCUAGAAGAUGAGGUUUCCAUCUCCUGUUCCCACACAGACAUGGUGGGAAGGCAGAGCGAAGAUAAUGAGAACACAAAGGCAGUCCGUGGGGUGGAAGAUUUGAAACCAUCCCUGAGGAGAUGAACAGAGGUUGAGAAUGGCCAGGGUGAAUGCUGUAAAUGCAUCAGGAUGAGGUGAACCUGGGAACAAAUAAUGGUGAGGCAAGGAAGGUGGUGAGUAUGACUGGGCCAUGUGUACACAGACACAUAACCAGGACUCAAAUCUAUUUUUGUAAAUGAGAAUGAAGAACCUUUCAGCUGUGACUUUUAAGUGCCAUCUUUAUAGCUAGCUGGGCUUCCCAUUGUGCACAGGCAACUUUGGACGGUCCACUUAGAAGGCACCUUGCAACCUUGUGUUGGCCGCUGCCAUGUGGUGAAGGCAGUGACGCUGCUGAGCCUUGUGCCCAGAGAAGGAACAUGCCUCCGCAGGCCUCAGUCCUCGAAGUCAAAUCCACUCUCCACUUCUCACAGGGCCACCAACUGAUGGGUCCAGACAGAACCCAGCUGUCCUUUCCCUUGGGGUCCUCAUUAAGACCGAAAGCCUUCCAUGGAAGGCUCAUCACCCCUAGCUAGGUUUAUCCACUUAUCUCUAUUUUAUUGGAAAGAAGGAUUCAGAAAAAGAACUCUAGGUCAAGGCCCUUUCAUUUAACCUUCAAAUAACAGCAAACUCAUUUUAAAGAUUCAUUGCUCAGGUGAUAGAAACUUUAUCCUCUCCAACCUUUACAUUUUCAAAAACCAGCCUUGUGUGCUUGACCACCCCAGACAGCGGUGAGCUCUUAGGUUUGACAUGCAAUGUGGAAGAGCAGACUGGGGGGAGACCCGGGUGUGGCCGAUUCUGUGUUUCUUACCCCCUCUGGAAUGCUAAAGGCAUCAAACUGGGAGGCCUAGUGCCCCCCAAGAAAAAUGAGAUGGAUCCUGAGAGCAAGCUGCUGAGGGAAAGCCAACCUUUGGGCAGGCUCAGCUGUCCUGGCAGAAGCUGAGUCGCAGGUGCCUGGCUGUGCCCGGCAGCCCAGAUUCACCCACCACCGGAAUCUCACUUUUCUAAACCUGCCUGAUCUUGAAGACUUCCGAACCUGCAGCUUCGGCAAAAUGACUCUCCCGAGCUGCCUCUAGAUGACCAACACUGGAGACUCUGGCCUUACCAUGUGGAAAUAGUUUUCCUGAAGUCUGGAACUAAUUUUGAGAAGUUUUUUUCUCAACUUUUGUGUUUCUAACACUGUAUUCUUGACUGUGUAAAUAUCGACAAGGCUGUAAAUAAAUGCAGAUGUAGAUACCUUCUAGAAAAAAAAAAAAGGCAUAAAAACAAAACCAGAAGUGAUCCCGUGUAGCCUUCGUUGAUAAAUAAAAGAAUAUUUUGUGUUUAAA